rnacentral:rRNA from 1 species
UACAGAGGCCCCAAGCGUUACUGAGAAUCACUGGGUUUAAAGGGUGCGUAGGUGGCGCGUUAAGUUCGUUGUGAAAUCCCUGGGCUCACCCCAGGAAAUGCUUCGAAUACUGGCGUGCUUGAGGCUAGUAGGGGUCACUGGAACUGACGGUGGAGCGGUGAAAUGCGUAGAUAGCGUCAGGAACGCCGAUGGUGAAGACAGGUGACUGGGCUAGUUCUGACACUGAGGCACGAAAGCGUGGGGAGCGAACGGG